rnacentral:piRNA from 3 species
GCUAAUAACGCCAAGGUCGCGGGUU